rnacentral:rRNA from 1 species
AUGACGUCUCCAAGCGCUCCCAAGGACAACUUUUUUGAGAAGGUUAUCAACCCCUAUCUCGCGGAGGUGCUGCAACACCCUCAAACCAUUGAGAUGCGUGAUGGGGUGCUGCACAUCCGCGAUGUGGAGGGACCAAAGCGUACCGGAAGCAUGGAGACAAAGCUCGAAGCUAUGGAGCAACAAGUUUUCAAGUGCCAAGGGAUGGUGGAACGUGGACUCAACGCCAACCAGAUGAUGAUCGCGGAAUUCACCAACAACCACAAGCUAGACGCCAAGAACAUUGGGGAUACCAUCUUCAAGAUUCAUGAGAAAAUCGAGCACCUCCAAGCCCAGAUCUAUGACCUGCAAAACCAAAACUGUGAGUAUGAAUAUAGAUUCAAGAGGAUGAGUUUGGCUGCAGAUUUGAGGAUCCCGGAGACUCGAUCAUCCUUCUAUGAUGGUGAGCCUAUGCCUUGGAAGACGGACGACAAGCCUACAUCAUCAACAACUCCUUCUUCACCACCUCCGAGGACAUAA